GACGAACGCUGGCGGCGUGCUUAACACAUGCAAGUCGAACGGAAAGGCCCUGCUUUUGUGGGGUGCUCGAGUGGCGAACGGGUGAGUAACACGUGAGUAACCUGCCCUUGACUUUGGGAUAACUUCAGGAAACUGGGGCUAAUACCGGAUAGGAGCUCCUGCUGCAUGGUGGGGGUUGGAAAGUUUCGGCGGUUGGGGAUGGACUCGCGGCUUAUCAGCUUGUUGGUGGGGUAGUGGCUUACCAAGGCUUUGACGGGUAGCCGGCCUGAGAGGGUGACCGGCCAAAUUGGGACUGAGAUACGGCCCAGACUGCUACGGGAGGCAGCAGUGGGGAAUAUUGCACAAUGGGCGGAAGCCUGAUGCAGCAACGCCGCGUGCGGGAUGACGGCCUUCGGGUUGUAAACCGCUUUCGCCUGUGACGAAGCGUGAGUGACGGUAAUGGGUAAAGAAGCACCGGCUAACUACGUG
rnacentral:rRNA from 1 species